GCGAAAACUUUACAAUGCUGGCAACAGCGAUAAGGGAACCUCGAGUGCCAGGUUACAAAUCUGGCUGUCGAGAUGCCUAAAAAGCAUUUCAUAGCAAGGGCCGGGCAAGACCGGUGCCAGCCGCCGCGGUAACACCAGCGGCUCGAGUGGUAACCGUUAUUAUUGGGUCUAAAGGGUCUGUAGCCGGCCGGAUAAGUCUCUUGAGAAAUCUGGCAGCUUAACUGUCAGGCUUUCAGGAGAUACUGUCUGGCUCGAGGCCGGGAGAGGUGAGAGGUACUUCAGGGGUAGGGGUGAAAUCUUGUAAUCCUUGAAUGACCACCAGUGGCGAAGGCGUCUCACCAGAACGGACCUGACGGCAAGGGACGAAAGCUAGGGGCACGAACC
rnacentral:rRNA from 1 species